rnacentral:rRNA from 1 species
UACGGAGGGUGCAAGCGUUGUCCGGAUUUAUUGGGUUUAAAGGGUACGUAGGCGGCAUUAUAAGUCAGUGGUGAAAGUUUUCGGCUCAACCGAGAAAGUGCCAUUGAUACUGUAGUGCUUGAGUAUUGUAGAGGUAGGCGGAAUUCCGCAUGUAGCGGUGAAAUGCAUAGAUAUGCGGAGGAACUCCAACAGCGAAGGCAGCUUACUGGACAAUAACUGACGCUGAGGUACGAAAGCGUGGGUAUCGAACAGG